GUCUGGUGUUGUAGUAGGUGCUUGAUGGUGAUAUGUGCUGUAUGGGAUAGGCCUCUCCCUAAGCAUAGUGAAAGGGUGCUGUUGUGCUCAGGCAGACUGUUCUUGCUAAUGAAGUAAACAAGAUUAGAAGGCGAAGGAAUGAGGAGACAAUAGGAGCCAAAUAAGGAAUUGUGAAUGGCACUCAUCAUGAAAGGCAGUCUAUACAGUGGCCAGCAUACAAGAGAAAUCUGGAUAAGAAAAAUACUUUGCUCCCUUCCCUGACUUGGGACUACUCAUUGCUGCAGCUGUUCACCAUCCCACAGUUUUUCCCCAAAGCAAUUUGUGGAACUACUGCAAACCAGAUCAUGGAAAUGGAACAGGUUACAGGUCUACAAAAUGUCUUAGGUGUUGUCAGCUAGUUCUUCUUGUCAUAUACCAUGUGGGACCUUGCUAUGGUGUUGCUUCAUUAUUCUGAUGCUGACUGAUGUGCACUCCUGUGUCUGUCUGCGGCUGUUCUGUUACUGUACAACACUGUCCUUUGCCCCUUGCUGAUGACUGCAGCUCUGCCAACCUGACCCUCAGCUGCUGCACUUCCAGCCACCCACACUUCUCAUCCUAGGUAUGAGAGAGAUGAAGUGCAAUGCAGCAUUGGAACAUGGAGCGAUCACAAUCAGACAGUGUAUACCUGAAGUGUCACUGCUGGGCUCUCACCUGCUAUGAACCAGUAAAGCUUGGUGUCAAAUAUUUUUAUAGUAUUUACUCUCAAACUAAAUUAAGAUGGCAUGUAUAUGCAUAUUAAGAUAGAUAUCAGUAGUAUUUUUAUACAUACUAAUUUUGACUUUAGGAAAAGACAUUGGAAGUUAUGGGCGGCAUUAUAGAAAGGUUUUCAUAUUUAUUACUCUAAAACUUCAGAACUGCAGCUUUAGAAUUGCGUUGUAGAUUUAAUUCCAGAAAGUACAGUUUUCUUAUAGAAAGGAUCUAGCUUUGGAAGGAUUUUUCAAUAAGUUUUUGGAAGCUUAAAUCAAUGGUAAUCCAAAAGACCUACAGAGAAAUCUUCUCUUGGAAGUGUUGAGACUACUGCAAAAAUGUUUCAACAACUGCCCCUAAGAAGUCUCUGUGGAUAACUUCUGGAAGUACUAAGUGCUUUUAAGAUUGCCAUGGCCACACAGGCUGACAAAUCUAAGCUGAGCAACAGCUGAAGCUUAUUUCAGUGGAAUGGAUGUAUUUAUUCCUGGGAGACAUUUUGCAAGGAGCAAGUAUAAUUGCAAGGUAGAUGUGAUGCUGCAAUUGGAAACAUGACACUGCUAUCUUGUGGUAAUUCUUUUCUUCUUUCCUCUGUGUUGUGUCACUUCCUCUGUCAGAAGGUUUCAGCAGAGUUCAGAUCAAAGAGCACAACUAGUUCUCAACAUACACAGAGCAAAAAACUCAGAGGAUAUUCAGCUCCUCAGCAGUGGAAACUUGUUU
ensembl:lncRNA